rnacentral:rRNA from 1 species
ACUCGAGUCUUUGACGCAAGUUGCGCCCGAAGCCACUAGGCCGAGGGCACGCCUGCCUGGGUGUCACACAUCGUCAUCCCCAUGCAAACGCGCAUCGGGGCUAAAGCUGGCCUCCCGCGAGACAACCAUCGUGGUUGGUCGAAAAACAAGGCAACGUCGGGGUCCCCCCGCGAGAAACGGUGGAUGAGCAAACGCUCGAGACCAAUCGCGGAGACUCGGCAAUCCAAUCGAUCGGCCCUAUUGCGUUCUUGGCAGAAAGCAAAGACGCUCUUAACGAGACCUCAGGUCAGGCGGGGCUACCCGCUGAGUUUAAGCAUAUCAAUAAGCGGAGGAAAAGAAACUAACAAGGAUUCCCUUAGUAACGGCGAGCGAACCGGGAACAGCCCACCAUGAGAAUCGGUCGCCCCUGGCGUUCGAAUUGUAGUUAA